rnacentral:lncRNA from 1 species
AAAAACGUAUGUCCACUAGGUGGCAAUAGGUGCCUCAAAGUCAGUUUUGCCAGACCGCCAAUGAUAAGGGAAGAAGAAGGCUACGGCGAUCAGCCAAGCCCUCUCACGUAGGUGCAACGUCUGCCAGCACUUUACUUGCUUCAGAAAGACAAACUGCUCAUCAUUUUCAUUUAUAGUUAAAACUAUUACGUCUAUAUAAAGGUGACAUUGGACCAGGUUAAAGGAGUCGAUCAUUUUGCUGUACAUCAGGAUUCACCAGUGCUGCUGAUGGUCCAUGAUUGGCUUCCACCUCCCUCUGAAGGUGCCCAUGGUGACAAGGUCUUUUACACUGGAUGAAGUGGACCUGUUAACUUUGUACUUUUUUCUGUGGAAAUCAUAAGCGAAUCAUUGAACAUUAUCAAAGUAAUCACAGACAUUACGGAAGAACUUGCCUUCUUCCCUGCAUAUACAGUAACUGCUCACAGUAUUUCAGAUCCA